UCGAGAUAAACAAAACAUGCCAUUUCAGAAAGAAACUUUUUCGACCUUUAACCUAAACAUAUACCACACAUAUCAGUCUAAAUCGCCCAUUUUUUUUUCCUCUAAUCUUCCCUUUGCGACUCAUUUGAACUUCAAUUAUCCAUUAUUUUCAAACACAGAAAGCAUCAGUCGUCAUAAUCAAAGCCUCAUGGUGGUGCCGCUACUGGGGACAGAACUUCAAAUGAUAGCAGAACCUAAAUGACGAUUUAAUCUUUCUUUCGGGAACAGUGAGGCUAGUGGCGGUGGUGGUGUAUUGGGAUUUGAGAAGGGAUUGAAAGCGAUGGAGAAAACGUGGCAAAUGAAAGAAGAACGCUGAUCGAGAGAAGGAAUUUACCACGAAGCAGCAGACGGUGAAGGACGUUUCAUUGGUGUUUCAUUCAAAACAGGAGGGUGGCGAAUUGGCGAUACCGACGCUUCAUUCAAAGUAGGAGGUGGCAGAAGUUCCCUGUCUGAAACAGGUGGCAGAUAUCUAGGCUUCAAGCUGUGACUCGGUGGCAAUGAAGCAGAUGGGGAAGCGCCGUCAUCUUGUCGUCUUCUGUCUCAACCUAAAAUAAGGAUGACGGGGGAGAAAGAAAGAAGGCAACUUCAGAAAAGCAGAUCUCGGCUGAGAAGUAGUGACUCCGCAGUCAUUUACGCAUGAGGUGGAGAUAUAGGUAGCAGGAGACAAAGGCAUGAGGUAAACAUAGGGGGAUUUUUGGGUUAAUCGGGUUUCGUUUGAGGGUUACGGGUCAGUCAAGGAGUUAUGAGUUUGCAUGGUUAACGACACUGUUGUAAAAAUCCCGAAUAGGUCCCGCUUAAUCUCCGAUUAAUCCCUAGGCGCUACUCGACCGAUUAGAGGGCGCCUAGCGAUUAAUCUCUGCAUACAUAAUGAGUGAAACAUUAUAAAACGAUGAAAUUUUAACAUUUUGAAAAAGUUUUGUCAAAUGGAAACUAUUUGAGGCAUGAUUAGUGUUGUAUUAAUCAUAUUAACUUAUUUUGUUAUCAUAUUAGUGGUAUUUAAGAACUUUGAUAUGAUAUUAGUCAUAUUUAAUUUUUUAAAAUUCAACAAAUUAGCAAUUAAUGGUACCCGGUUAAUCCCCCGAUUAAGCUCCGCCUAGCCGAUUAAUCCCUUGACCUUAGUCCACUGAGUAGCUAACGUCGAGCGUUUUUUGCAACCUUGGUUAACAGUAGUUUUUGAUUUGUUUAUGUUGACUAGGUUUUAGUGGAUAAUAAAGUAUGACUUGGUGUCAUGUAAUUAGGUAAACGUAGGUUAGCUUUUACUGGGAAGUCUAUCCAUUAGUUUAGGAAGUUAGUUUUGUUUUAUUCUAUUUAUUUUGAAGCUUUCAUAUAUAUAGUUUGUACUUUUCGAUGUUUGGUAUAUACAACAGAGANUAUAUAUAUAUAUAUAUAGUUUGUACUUUUCAUUGUUUUGAAUAUACAACAGAGAGAAAAAGUACCAAAACUAAGUGUGUCUAUCUUCAUUAUUUCUUUUCUAUCUGGGUGUAUUUUGAGCCAUACGUAUCUAAUUUCUAACAGUUGGUAUCAGAGCAGUUUAAGAAGUGGGCCGGUUUGAGAGUCGACUUUCGAAGGAGGGAGUAGCCUUUGGCUGCAGGAGCAGCAACAGCAGCGGGUCGACAACUGGUUUGGAUUGCGAAAUCAGAAACAUGGUUUGUUUGGCAGUGAUUUUUCCUUGUGGGGAGCAGCAAACUGAAGGUUUGAUCCCACAAUAGGUUCGGGACAACAGGAACUAUUUUGGGAAUUGUUUACAAAAAAAGACAAGAAAAAUUAAAGCGUUUCUAGUCAAUUGUUGUCGUGGGGAGAUGGGGAGCACCCUUCGAGACGAAGGGGAGCGUGGUAUUCAAAUGCAUAUCCGGCGGUAGGCUGUGGAUAUGUCACGGGAAAAUGGAGAGAGUUACUGAAGUUGCGUGAGAAAACGAAAAGAAAAGAUCCGUGAAAAGCAGGUGGCUUUGGGUGUGUUUCGUUUUGUAGGUGAAAGAAGACGGGAAAAGCGGGUUGCUUUGUUUUCUUGAUCGGUGGAAGAAGGCUCUCGUUUCACAGAAGUGUUAGGGAAAACAGAUUCUGUGUGGUGACAAACAACAACCAGGUGUGGAAGAGUUUGGACGUGACCGAGGUGAAGGUCGGGUGUUCGGGAAAAGUCGUGAUUGAGUGAAGACUUUGGACGUGACUGAGGUGAUGGUUAGGUGUCCGGGAAAGGUCGAGAAUGAAGAUGAAAAUAUGGUGAUUAAUGGCUGUUGUGAACAAGUGGUAUGACAAAACCGAUUAAGAGGGUGAUUGUUGGGUUAAUUGGGUUUCGUUCACGGGUUACGGGUCAGUCAAGGAGUUAUGAGUUUGCAUGGUUAACGAUAGUUUUUGAUUUGUUUAUGUUGACUAGGUUUUAGUGGAUAAUAAAGUAUGACUUGAUGUCAUGUAAUUAGGUAAACGUGGGUUAGAUUUUACUGGGAAGUCUAUCCAUUAGUUUAGGAAGUUAGUUUUGUAUUAUUCUAUUUAUUUUGAAGCUUUCAUAUAUAUAGUUUGUACUUUUCGUUGUGUUGAAUAUACAACAGAGAGAAAAAGUACCAAAACUAAGUGUGUCUAUCUUCAUUCUUUCUUUUCUAUCUGGGUGUAUUUUGAGCCAUACGUAUCUGAUUUCUAACAGGGACAACGCUGACAGAAGUGGUUGGAAAGC
rnacentral:lncRNA from 1 species